rnacentral:rRNA from 1 species
CCUGCCCUUUGUACACACCGCCCAUCGCUCUUAUCGAUUGAAAGGUCCCGUGAAGUGUUCGGAUUGUGGCCUGUGGGCGGUUCGCCGCCGGCGAGUUGCAAGAAGUCCACUGAACGUUAUCAUUUAGAGGAAAGCGAAGUUGUAACAAGGUUUCCGUAGGUGAACCUGCAGAAGGAUCAUUG